CGUGCCAGCAGCCGCGGUAAUACGUAGGUGGCAAGCGUUGUCCGGAUUUAUUGGGCGUAAAGCGAGCGCAGGCGGAAGAAUAAGUCUGAUGUGAAAGCCCUCGGCUUAACCGAGGAACUGCAUCGGAAACUGUUUUUCUUGAGUGCAGAAGAGGAGAGUGGAACUCCAUGUGUAGCGGUGGAAUGCGUAGAUAUAUGGAAGAACACCAGUGGCGAAGGCGGCUCUCUGGUCUGCAACUGACGCUGAGGCUCGAAAGCAUGGGUAGCGAACAGGAUUAGAUACCCUGGUAGUCCAUGCCGUAAACGAUGA
rnacentral:rRNA from 1 species